CCAACAUGGCGGACAGGAAGCGGCCCCGCGACGAGCGGAGAACAUUCCAGCCGCGCCGGCCCCGGCCCCAGCCCCGGCCCGGACAGCGAGGGGAGCGGGCGGGCGGGGCGAUGAGGACGAGGAUGGGGACGAGAGGGGGGCAGCUCGGCCCCGGCCCCGCCGCCUUCCACCCCCCCAACCCGGCUCAGCCCCGCCGGGUCCACAGAUCUCAGAAUUUUUGCCUGGAGACACGAACUUCAAAAAGACUUUUGGAGUGACCAGACAGAGAUAAGGAGAGCUCAGACCCUCUCCAUAGCUCUGUGGGGUAGAAAGGACAGAUCAUCAUCCUCAUUUUGUACAAGAAGCUGAAACACAAAUUGUUGUUCAUCCUUCGUUUCCAGAGAGAACCAAUGA